rnacentral:rRNA from 1 species
AGCAGUAGCCACGGUAAUGCGAAGGGGGCUAGCGUUGCUCGGAAUGACUGGGCGUAAAGGGCGCGCAGGCGGUUUAUACAGUCAGAUGUGAAAUUCCUGGGCUCAACCUGGGGACUGCAUUUGAUACGUAUGGACUUGAGAGGAGAAGAGGGUCGUGGAAUUUCCAGUGUAGAGGUGAAAUUCGUAGAUAUUGGAAAGAACACCGGUGGCGAAGGCGGCGACCUGGUCUUUAACUGACGCUGAGGCGCGAAAGCGUGGGGAGCAAACAGGAUUAGAUACCCCCGUAGUCCCUGUCUCUUAUAC